GUUGCAGGAUCUUCUGUGUGUGCAUCGUGGUCAAAUGCUCAGACUCCUGUGGUGGCUGCUUAUGCACCACGGAUGUUUGAGCAUGUGCUAUGGUGUCUACUUUUGCAACAUUGCCAUCU
rnacentral:pre_miRNA from 8 species